rnacentral:lncRNA from 1 species
GUCCUCGCGUCUGCUCUCUGUUUAGCCACGCGGCCUACCUAAGGCCAACAGGACCCGGGGGUCGUGUCCCAGCACCCACACUGAAGCUCCGGUGCCUGGGGAGCCUAUGUUCUCUUCUGCCCCACCUUCCCGGCUUUCUGGUCUUCUCCAGCCUGGCACACGUGGGGCACACAGACACAUGGGCAGGAGAAGGCACUCCUACAUGGUAAAUAAAAAUAAGCAAAAAUCCC